ensembl:lncRNA
AAAUCUCAAACUUCAGAGCCUGAGCUGCUCACAAACCCAAAAUGGACGGCAAGAUUAUCUGUCUGAUGUUUCUGCUGGGACUUUAUGAAGGAGGAAUGGCACAAGGUACGACUACAGCUGCCCCAACUACGAAUACAGCUGCCCCAACUACGACUACAGCUGCCCCAACUACGACUACAGCUGCUCCAACUACGACUACAGCUGACCCAACUACAACCACAGCUCUGCCAACAACAACAGGUGGCUGUAAACCGUUACCGUGGGACGAUCUUACAGCGCUCUAUAACUCACCUGUGUUCAAUGCUGAGUGGAUGGUGAUGUCCGUGGGGAACACGCCUGUCCUCGCAGGAUUCAUCGCCCG